rnacentral:rRNA from 1 species
AACGAACGCUGGCGGCAUGCCUAACACAUGCAAGUCGAACGCGUGUAGCAAUACACGAGUGGCGGACGGGUGAGUAACGCGUGGGAACCUGCCCAGUGGUAGGGAAUAACUGCGGGAAACUGCAGCUAAUACCCUAUACGCCCUUUGGGGGAAAGAUUCAUCGCCAUUGGAGGGGCCCGCGUCGGAUUAGCUAGUUGGCGGGGUAACGCCCACCAAGGCAACGAUCCGUAGCUGGUCNGAGAGGAUGAUCAGCCACACUGGGACUGAGAUACGGCCCAGACUCCUACGGGAGGCAGCAGUGGGAAUAUUGGACAAUGGGGGAAACCCUGAUCCAGCAAUGCCGCGUGAGUGGAGAAGGCC